rnacentral:rRNA from 1 species
UGCGGAGGGAUCAUUACUGAGUUACCGCUCAUCAACCCUUUGUGAACAUACCUUAACUGUUGCUUCGGCGGGUAGGCGUCCCCUAAAAAGGACGUCUCCCGGCCCUCUCCCGUCCGCGGGUGGGGCGCCCGCCGGAGGAUAACCAAACUCUGAUUUAACGACGUUUCUUCUGAGUGACACAAGCAAAUAAUCAAAACUUUUAACAACGGAUCUCUUGGUUCUGGCAUCGAUGAAGAACGCAGCGAAAUGCGAUAAGUAAUGUGAAUUGCAGAAUUCAGUGAAUCAUCGAAUCUUUGAACGCACAUUGCGCCCGCCAGCAUUCUGGCGGGCAUGCCUGUUCGAGCGUCAUUUCAACCCUCAAGCUCUGCUUGGUGUUGGGGCUCUACGGUUGACGUAGGCCCUUAAAGGUAGUGGCGGACCCUCUCGGAGCCUCCUUUGCGUAGUAACAUUUCGUCUCGCAUUGGGAUUCGGAGGGACUCUAGCCGUAAAACCCCCAAUUUUACUAAGGUUGACCUCGGAUCAGGUAGGAAUACCCGCUGAACUUAAGCAUAUC